AAAGCAGGUCAUAGUGAUCCGGUGGUUCUGAAUGGAAGGGCCAUCGCUCAACGGAUAAAAGGUACUCCGGGGAUAACAGGCUGAUACCGCCCAAGAGUUCAUAUCGACGGCGGUGUUUGGCACCUCGAUGUCGGCUCAUCACAUCCUGGGGCUGAAGUAGGUCCCAAGGGUAUGGCUGUUCGCCAUUUAAAGUGGUACGCGAGCUGGGUUUAGAACGUCGUGAGACAGUUCGGUCCCUAUCUGCCGUGGGCGCUGGAGAACUGAGGGGGGCUGCUCCUAGUACGAGAGGACCGGAGUGGACGCAUCACUGGUGUUCGGGUUGUCAUGCCAAUGGCACUGCCCGGUAGCUAAAUGCGGAAGAGAUAAGUGCUGAAAGCAUCUAAGCACGAAACUUGCCCCGAGAUGAGUUCUCCCUGAGACUUUAGAUCUCCUGAAGGAACGUUGAAGACGACGACGUUGAUAGGCCGGGUGUGUAAGCGCAGCGAUGCGUUGAGCUAACCGGUACUAAUGAACCGUGAGGCUUAACCUUACAACGCCGAAG
rnacentral:rRNA from 2 species